rnacentral:rRNA from 1 species
UAAAGCGUGCGCAGGCGGUUUGUAAGACUGUCGUGAAAUCCCCGGGCUCAACCUGGGAAUGGCGAUGGUGACUGCAAGGCUAGAGUUUGGCAGAGGGGGUAGAAUUCCACGUGUAGCAGUGAAAUGCGUAGAUAUGUGGAGGAACACCGAUGGCGAAGGCAGCCCCCUGGGUCAAAACUUGACGCUCAUGCACGAAAGCGUGGGGAGCAAACAGGAUUAGAUACCCUGGU